UGGAGAAGUACUCAAGUGGCUGAAGAGGCGCCCCUGCUAAGGGUGUAGGUCGGGAAACUGGCGCGAGGGUUCAAAUCCCUCCUUCUCC
rnacentral:tRNA from 1 species